ACAUCCACAGAAGAAUCCAGAGAUGGAUUUGUGCCUUCGGGAACUGUGAGACAGGUGCUGCAUGGCUGUCGUCAGCUCGUGUUGUGAAAUGUUGGGUUAAGUCCCGCAACGAGCGCAACCCUUAUCCUUUGUUGCCAGCGAUUAGGUCGGGAACUCAAAGGAGACUGCCAGUGAUAAACUGGAGGAAGGUGGGGAUGACGUCAAGUCAUCAUGGCCCUUACGACCAGGGCUACACACGUGCUACAAUGGCGCAUACAAAGAGAAGCGACCUCGCGAGAGCAAGCGGACCUCAUAAAGUGCGUCGUAGUCCGGAUUGGAGUCUGCAACUCGACUCCAUGAAGUCGGAAUCGCUAGUAAUCGUGGAUCAGAAUGCCACGGUGAAUACGUUCCCGGGCCUUGUACACACCGCCCGUCACACCAUGGGAGUGGGUUGCAAAAGAAGUAGGUAGCUUAACCUUCGGGAGGGCGCUUACCACUUUGUGAUUCAUGACUGGGGUGAAGUCGUAACAAGGUAACCGUAGGGGAACCUGCGGUUGGAUCACCUCCUUACCUUAAAGAAGC
rnacentral:rRNA from 1 species